GACGAACGCUGGCGGCGUGCCUAAUACAUGCAAGUAGAACGCUGAAGGAAGGAGCUUGCUCUUUCUGGAUGAGUUGCGAACGGGUGAGUAACGCGUAGGUAACCUGCCUGGUAGCGGGGGAUAACUAUUGGAAACGAUAGCUAAUACCGCAUAAAAUUGUUUAUUGCAUGAUAGUCAAUUAAAAGGUGCAACUGCACCACUACCAGAUGGACCUACGUUGUAUUGGUAGGUGGGGGGGGUAACGGCUCACCAAGGGGACGUUACAUACCCGCCCGGAAGGGGUGACGGCCAAACUGGGAACUAAGCACGGCCCAGACUCCUUCGGGAGGCAGCAGGAGGGGAUCUUCGGAAAAGGGCCGAAGGCCGACCGGGGCACGCCGGGUGGGUGAAGAAGGUUCUCGGAUCGUGAAGAUCUGUUGUUAGGGAAGAAAGAGAGGGAGAGUGGACAGUGCACAUUGUGACGGUACCUAACCAGAAAGCCACGGCUAACUACGUG
rnacentral:rRNA from 1 species